rnacentral:misc_RNA from 1 species
GAGCAAGGCUUGCCCGCGAAGGCGGCGUGUCAGCCAACAUCAAUGUGGGUUGGCAGAUGGCCUUCGCGGGCAAGCCUCGCUC